rnacentral:tmRNA from 1 species
GGGGAUGAUCGGUUUCGACAUUGCCUGCAAAACUGCGAGAAGCGGGUCGAGGAUGCAGGGUUAUCUCGUUAACGCCACCUGCAAACAAUAAGUGCCAAUAAAUCACGCACUGACUUCGCCCUCGCUGCCUAAGCGAGCGCACUAGAAGUCUGUCGGUCCGGGAAUGCUCUCUACCCGGGUUCCGGCAUCAUUCAGAGAGAUUGCUGCGACGUUAUGCCUGAGGGCGCCGCGGGACUCUAACUCAGACUGGGCUCGUUGACCCUGAUGCUUGUGGCAAAGGUCAGAGCCGAGUAGAACGCAUCACAAGCUACGCCCGUAGAAGGCGCAGGAUUACAGCAGUGGACGGGGGUUCAAUUCCCCCCAUCUCCACCA